GGUUCGGAAAUCAUCUAAAAUAAAGAAAAAAAAGUUAGUGUAGUAUCGCCCUGUUUGUUGGCAUGGAACACGGAAGGCGAAAUUUGCGUAAACAAAUGGAAUGAUAGUUUCUCCGACGACACGACCUGCCACUCGUCUAUCAAAACUGUAUCGCAAAUUUAACUACCCCUCAGUAACUGGUAAUGUCAAAAUGAAAUUGCUCGGAACAAUUUUGAAACUGGCAACACAAGUUGAUAGAAUAUUGAUUUUAAAUAACAGUUACCAUAACCUUGGUGACUGCUUAGUGAAGACUAAUGUAAACAAAAAAAAAUGGCAAAACGAGUAUUUCAUAUCGAAAAAUUGAAAUGUAUCUAGUGGAAGAUCUCUUUUGUGCAGAAAAGGACAAACAAAAAACAACUGAUCUAGAAAUGAUCGAAUAUAUUUACUGCCCAGCAAAAUUGUUUUGUUCUGACUGGUCACUAUACAAAUCGUUCUCCCCCAGAUAGUUUUAUGUAUGUAUUUGUAUGAAAUAAACGUUUUCUUUCAA